rnacentral:rRNA from 1 species
GACGAACGCUGGCGGCGUGCUUAACACAUGCAAGUCGAACGGUGAAGCGCCUUCCUUUUUGGUGGGUGUGGAUGAGUGGCGAACGGGUGAGUAACACGUGAGUAACCUGCCCCCUUCUUCUGGAUAACCGCAUGAAAGUGUGGCUAAUACGGGAUAUUCUGGGUCUGUCGCAUGAUGGGUCUGGGAAAGAUAUUGUUUCGGUGGGGGAUGGGCUCGCGGCCUAUCAGCUUGUUGGUGGGGUGAUGGCCUACCACGGCGGUGACGGGUAGCCGGCCUGAGAGGGUGGACGGUCACACUGGGACUGAGACACGGCCCAGACUCCUACGGGAGGCAGCAGUGGGGAAUAGUGCACAAUGGGCGCAAGCCUGAUGCAGCGACGCCGCGUGAGGGAUGGAGGCCUUCGGGUUGUGAACCUCUUUCGCCAGUGAAGCAGGCCUGCCUCGUUUGUGGGUGGGUUGACGGUAGCUGGAUAAGAAGCGCCGGCUAACUACGUG